GGACGUUACAGUUCUAACUGGAUGACUCUUUUCCGAGAUGAUCGAUUCGGUAGCCGAAACUGGAUCACCAGCAGCUGUCGUUGUCCUUGGAGUGGCAAACGAAAUUAGCUGCUGCACUAUCGGAGUAGACGGAGACAGGUGAUCAGCAGCGAGCGGUCGAGGGACAGGCACUUGCAGAUUCCGAGGAUUUUUUUGCGCCUAGGGGACUCAUUCAGCAGUUUAAAACCGCGGAAUCGGCUGGAAGCCGAUCGUACUGCUUUUUAAAGCCCACGAUGAGCUCCUUAAAGCCCUUUCGCG
rnacentral:lncRNA from 1 species